rnacentral:lncRNA from 1 species
ACAUUUAUCUAGUACUAGAGCUAAAUAAAAUAAGAAAAAGAUGAAAUAGACUACUCAGGGAAAGGAAUUGCAAGAGACCUGAGCAGAUAGAUACCGUGUUAGUUGGCUUAGUUCCUGUCUUUCUUCCUUUGUGCGCUCGGUGUACUCGGCUGAAUGUUCGUAACUGGUCGCGGUCUUGAUGAGUACCAAGUCUCCAACUUUGAAUGGGUCUGGCCUUCUACGCUUGUCAGCCCACUUCUUCAUCCGUUGAGAUGCCUUG